CGCCUCUUGAAAAAUAUAAGAGGUCCAGCCUGCCCAGUGACUCUGUUCAACGGCCGCGGUAUCCUAACCGUGCGAAGGUAGCGUAAUCACUUGUUCUUUAAAUGAGGACUAGUAUGAAAGGCAUCACGAGGGUUAUACUGUCUCCUUUUUCUAAUUAGUGAAACUAAUCUCCCCGUGAAGAAGCGGGGAUCUUUAUAUAAGACGAGAAGACCCUAUGGAGCUUUAAAUAAUAUAACAAUUGCUACUUUAUUUCUACUAACCUUAUAUCAUCUAGCAAUAUGAUUAUUAAUUUUUGGUUGGGGUGACCGCGGAGCAUAACACAACCUCCACAUUGAAAGGAUGCUACUCCUAAGCUAAAAGCAACAACUUUAUGCAUCAAUAAAUUGACAUCAAUUGACCCAAUAUAUUUGAUCAACGAACCAAGUUACCCUAGGGAUAACAGCGCAAUCUACUUUAAGAGCCCAUAUCGACAAGUAGGUUUACGACCUCGAUGUUGGAUCAGGGUAUCCUAGUGGUGCAGCCGCUACUAAUGGUUCGUUUGUUCAACGAUUAAAACCCU
rnacentral:rRNA from 1 species